UACGUAGGAUCCAAGCGUUGUCCGGAUUUACUGGGUGUAAAGGGUGCGCAGGCGGACUGGUUAGUCCGGGGUGAAAUCUCGCCGCUCAACGGCGAAACUGCCUUGGAUACUGCCGGUCUUGAAUUAGCGAGAGGUUCGUGGAAUUCCGAGUGUAGCAGUGAAAUGUGUAGAUAUUCGGAAGAACACCAGCGGCGAAGGCAGCGAACUGGCGCUAUAUUGACGCUCAGGCACGAAAGCAUGGGGAUCAAACAGG
rnacentral:rRNA from 1 species